rnacentral:lncRNA from 1 species
GGCAAUGCCUCCCAGGCUUGGGAGCUGGGAAAAGGCCCCAGGAGCUAGGGCAUCCUGAUUGUUCUUUCAAAGAAAUCCCUCUUGUUCUUAGUCAACAUGCUGGAUACCAGCUAAAAAAUGCAAAAUGAUCUUCAGGCAGGGAUGGCACAGGACCCUUGCUGAGCUGUGAAGCCUGGCUGUGAGGAUUCCUGCAUGGAAACAUCAACAUGUUGCCAGAUUGGUAUACGACUCAACACCACACUGUUUGAUUGGAGUUGAGCUGAUCUUGUCUGAACCUAGCUGGGCCUGGUCCGGGGCGGCAAAUUAGAUUCAGACAUGCUGCUCCCAAACAGUGCCUUUGAAUCAAGACCCAGUCAUCGUAUUCGAAGAAAAAGGAAAUAUCCCUGACCAUGUUGGGACUUAACACUGCUUCACAGAGUCCAUGGAGUUCCUGGUGACUAAUGCCAUCCACAAGAUCUGAAGGUGUUGUGUAACCUAGACCUGGCCCUUCUCUCAGUGCAUCCCCCUCUCCAGAGUGACCAACUCAGAGAGGUCAUGUGCUUAAGGAGAAGUUGACUGUCUGCAACCUGGAAGCAAGCCCUCACCAGAAGCUGACCAUGCUUGCACCCUGGUCUCAAACUUCCAGCCUCCAAAACUGUGAGAAUAAAUAUCUGUUGUUUGAAAGCCACCCAGAGUACCAUAGUACUCUGUUACAGCAGCUCAAACUGACUGAGACCCUCUUUAACAAUGACAAUAAAACUAAGAAUGGCUAAAA